ensembl:lncRNA
GGAGGACCGCGAGGCAGACGGUGCCUUCUCGUAGGGCGCAGCGAUGCAGCGCCCCCUGCAGCAUCCCUUCUCCACCGCCGACGUGAGCUUUUCGCCGUAAAUGCCAAGUCCGGCUGGGGACCUCAGAAAAGGGCUGCUCCGGCUUCGUGGCUGCAGAGAUCGAGGAGUCCGAUGGCGUCCCCGCGCAACCCCCCUGCGUAACGGUGGAUGAAAACAGUCACAAACAUCCGGCCCCAUCUGUCACCGUAGCGAGCCGCUUUCCUCGAUGACAUCGCGCCCCCGGCCCCAGGAGACGGCGCGAGGAGCGGAAACGGAUACGUCUACCAGACGGCGAGCGCUCCCCUUACUUUUGGAUGGGAAAUUGAUACAAACCCAGCAUUUCUUCUGAAGGAAACGCUCCGAUAUCCACGCGCGCCACAGGAGUGCGUAACGAAUUGCCGUUCUCAUCUCUCCGGUUUCCGCUUCAUAUUACUGCUUUUGGGUCAUAUUUCUGUGAAAUAAUAAAAAAUGGAAUAUAGUGGUGUGGGAUAUAAAUCUCCGGCAUUCCCAGCACGGUGAGUGAGAAGAGGCCCUGCAUGUCGAGAUCUGGUGGCUGUGAGUGGUUGGCCAGAUCGAGGCCCACCGGGUCCGUCCUGUAAGAGAAAACACCCAGGUGGCCAUUUCAGGCUCAGCUGACCAUCAUGGACAUCACCAUGGUACAAGUAAGUACACACACACACACACACACAUUUUCAGAACCGCAUGUCCCAUACGGGGUUGCAGGGAACCAGAGCCGACCCGGCAACACAGGGCAUAAGGCCGGAGGGGGAGGGGACACACCCGGGACAGGAUGCCAGUCCGCCACAAGGCGCCACAAGGCACCCCAAGCGGGACUCGAACCCCAGCCCCACCGGAGAGCAGGACCAGGUCCAACCCACUGCACCACCGCGCCCCCCAUACAAAGCGGCCAUGUGCCAGACGAACGGAUCUUCGUGCCCAAGAAGUUGCGCGGAGCUGCGUGGGAAGAGCGCCAUCAGCUGCCGGACGGAGCCGGUGCGCCACCGACGUGCUGGAAGGGGACAGGGGACGGAGACAGCGCCGCACACGGGGGGUCGGACACACCGCACAUGAGGCGACCCAGCAUGAGUCACACCUGGACGCUCCGCUCAAGGGAACGGGAAUUUCAGAUAGGAACCUUUCGGUGAGGCUUUGAGGUUUCCCUUCGGGGGGGGGCGGGGGUGUCACCGGCGGACAUGAUGAAACCCACUCGGCCCCCGGUUGCAAAACCGCAGGAGCUUAUGGGAAGUGGCAUCAGUUUGGCGCAAGUCGGGGCGCACAUUGUGAAAGAGACCCUCGCAGUUAUUCCGGAAAGAGUCUCCCAGGGCCCACACAGGAUGCGGAGGGCAAUCGUCUUUCUGGAACGUUCCUGAAGGUCCGUCAGUUCUCACCUGCGCUCAGGUACUCCGCCCCGGUGGGUUCCAAAAGGGGCCGAUGAGGUUUGGCCUUUAACACUCAAGAAAAAAGUGCGUAAUGUAUAUCCUGCAGCGUUAAAUUUAGAGAAAUUAUUUUUACACAUUUUUGUAGGUGACAGAUAAUGACUACAUACAAACAUAGGCAGAUUUCUGGCAAAUAAACACAAAUUACAACAUUAAAUCCA